AGACUUUUACAAAACGAGGAAGAGAUGAGAGGAAGCCCUUUCAUUAGUGGCUCCUCCCAAUACUGUUUUCUCUGCCAGACGUUCCCAGUACCUGAGGAGCCUGAGUUGGAGAACCUGCCUGUUUGACCUCGGGGCAGGUUGGACAGACAGCCCGAAAGCUGCACGGGAAAGCAAGGGCCUAACCCAGCUGCACAGGCUGCCGCAUGUCCCGCCUCCGGUCCACAGCUGUUACUACUUUCUCUAGGCUUCUGUGGCCAACACACACAAAACGUGCACACGUGCACACAUGCCCACAUGCACAUACAGAGCAAGGGGAACAGAGACAGAGAGAAGAAAGCGAUUUCAGUCCGCUUGGGGUUCUUUAUCUUUGUUUAUUUGGGCUUGGUUGGUUAGCAGCCUUAGUUAUAUUUCUAUUGCUGGAUAAAACCCACGACCAAGAGCAGUUUGGGAAGGAAAGGGUUUAUUUGGUUUUUAUUGAUGUUGGGGGAUAUUCGAUCAUACUGUGAACCCUGAGUUUGUAUUUGCAUUAAUUAAAUAAAAUUAAUCAGGAGGCUACAUUAACAACUGCAUUAACUACAUUGACAGAAAGUAACCAUAGAGCACCAGAGGGCAUCCAGGAGAGAUAGAGAGACAGGAAGUAGUAGGGUGGGAGUUGCAGUAGCCAAAGCACAGGUCUUUCAUGAAUGACCAGUUAGCUAGUUGCUGCUCAGCCUCUCCAAGCUCACAGGUUUUCACCCCAGCCUUUGAAGGUCAAGUCUUAUUCAUAAUUAGAAUGAUAGAGGUUUUGUUAAAGCUACCUUUAGUGGCAGCAACAGGGCUGGUGCCUGCAGGAGCAGAAUUCCUACCGGGCCGCUGCUACAGAAGCUGGCCAGGAACUGGGGAAUUGCAGUUGCUGGCUGAGGUAGCAGUAGGUUAAGGAGCAGUCACUGUGCCGAUGACACUGAAGGAAGCCGAGGCAGGAAGCCGAAGGCAGGAACUUGAAGCAGAGACCACAGAAAUGAGCCGUGUACCAGUCUCUGCUGUAAACUCUCAAAGCCACCCUUCCACCAGCAAGGCUUCAUCUCCUAAGUUCCACAACCUCCCCCAAACAGUGCCCAUGAGAGACGUUUUUCAUCCAAACCACUACAGCAUCCUAUAAUCUACGGAGACAAAUUAGGAGCGUAUGAGCACAUGGGUCUAUGAAAGUCACAUGAAGAAGACAAGGCCUGAGAACUUCACACACAACAGACUGAGGGAAGCGUUGGAAGUGAGGAUGGCCCCACCAGUCCCCCAUCUGACCACCUGGUGUGUACACCGAAGGACACAAGUGGAGAACUCCUGAUUGCCACGGAUACUUCAGCUCAGCUUAGUCCCUGCUGAAGAUGCCACCUAUCUGAAUUGCUGUCUGUCCAUCUGCCUGGACCUGAUUCUGCCCUUUGCUUCCAUGGCCUUCAGAGGUAUCAGACGAGAUACCUCACGUCUGCAGCUCAAUUUGACCCCCAAGAUUGGCUCAAGUUGUGAGACCCUGGCUGGUUCUGUGGCAGUGUCUCCAAUGGACCUCCAGCAAGUAUUUGUUUUGUUUCUCCAGAAAUUCUUCUACCAACCCUGUCUCCUUCCUGCACCUGCCCCUUGGCCUCUUUGGAGGCUUGUUAUUGUUGUGUUGUUUAUUUGUUUCUGAGACAGGGUUUCAUAUAUUUAUUCCAGGAUAUUUGAUAUAUAAUUGGGAGUUAACAUUAGUAGUCAACUUUGCCUGGAAGAAGAGAGAAAGAAAGACACACACACACACACACAGAGAGAGAGAGAGAGAGAGAGAGAGAGAGAGAGAGAGAGAGAGAGAGAGAGAGAGAGAGCCUGCAUUUGCUUUGGCUGGUAAUCAAGAGAGUUGGGACUCUAUAGCAAAUUGCUGCCAAAGAAACUGCUGUGCCUUGUGAAUUUAUUGCUAUUCAAUAAAUUCUGACACUAUGGAAAGACACAGGGGUAUUUGUCUAUGUUUCUGGCAUAAUAAAUGUAAGACAGUGAUAAACUUACCUAGUAGCAAAAUCCCAAGCCUGAGUUUGGAAUCAUAGGAGUCACUCAAAUCCACCACCAGCCCCACUCCCUGGGCACAUCUGUAGGCUCGAGAAGAAGAGUUAUACAUGUUUAUACAACCUCGGGGACCACCAGCAGGGAACUAUGCCAGAGGGCAAAUCACUCUCCCCUGCCUGCCAUGAGGGAUUCUUGUGGGACCCUAAUGGACUACCAGGUAUCAGCAGCUGGGACCCAGAGCUGCAGCAAUGUCCAGGGGCCAGAUUUCAGGACUUUAAACAUCUCCAUCAUCUCCCAAAAGUCACUCCGAGUGUGUAAGACACACUUAGUUGUAUCCAAGGGCAUUCAGGGCAAUAGAUAGGCAUUUAGAAGCCCUAAAGUGCCUGCAGUGGUUAGCUUUCACUGCCAUCUUGACACAGUCUGGAGUCUUCUGUGAAGAAAGUCUCUUUGAGGGAUUGUCUAGAUUAUGUGAGUAUGUCUCUGGGGUAAUUGCCUUGAUUAGUAAGUCAAUCUGCAAGCUUUUGGUGGCGCCAUUAUCUGAUCAAGAGAUCCUGGAUUGUAUAAGAAUAAGAGUUAGCAGCCGGGGCAGUGGUGGUGCACACCUUUAAUCCCAGCACUCGGGAGGCAGAGGCAGGCGGAUCUCUAUGAGUUUGAGGCCAGCCUGGUCUACAAGAGCUAGUUCCAGGACAGCUAGGGCUACACAUAGAAACCCUGUCUCAAAAAAAAAAAAAAAAAAAAAAAAAAAAAAAAAAAAAAAAAAAAAAAAAAAAAAAAAAAAGAAUAA